rnacentral:rRNA from 1 species
GACGAACGCUGGCGGCGUGCCUAAUACAUGCAAGUCGAGCGAGCGGAACUAACAGAUUUACUUCGGUAAUGACGUUAGGAAAGCGAGCGGCGGAUGGGUGAGUAACACGUGGGGAACCUGCCCCAUAGUCUGGGAUACCACUUGGAAACAGGUGCUAAUACCGGAUAAGAAAGCAGAUCGCAUGAUCAGCUUUUAAAAGGCGGCGUAAGCUGUCGCUAUGGGAUGACCCCGCGGUGCAUUAGCUAGUUGGUAAGGCAAAGGCUUACCAAGGCGAUGAUGCAUAGCCGAGUUGAGAGACUGAUCGGCCACAUUGGGACUGAGACACGGCCCAAACUCCUACGGGAGGCAGCAGUAGGGAAUCUUCCACAAUGGACGCAAGUCUGAUGGAGCAACGCCGCGUGAGUGAAGAAGGUUUUCGGAUCGUAAAGCUCUGUUGUUGGUGAAGAAGGAUAGAGGUAGUAACUGGCCUUUAUUUGACGGUAAUCAACCAGAAAGUCACGGCUAACUACGUGCCAGCAGCCGCGGUAAUACGUAGGUGGCAAGCGUUGUCCGGAUUUAUUGGGCGUAAAGCGAGCGCAGGCGGAAGAAUAAGUCUGAUGUGAAAGCCCUCGGCUUAACCGAGGAACUGCAUCGGAAACUGUUUUUCUUGAGUGCAGAAGAGGAGAGUGGAACUCCAUGUGUAGCGGUGGAAUGCGUAGAUAUAUGGAAGAACACCAGUGGCGAAGGCGGCUCUCUGGUCUGCAACUGACGCUGAGGCUCGAAAGCAUGGGUAGCGAACAGGAUUAGAUACCCUGGUAGUCCAUGCCGUAAACGAUGAGUGCUAAGUGUUGGGAGGUUUCCGCCUCUCAGUGCUGCAGCUAACGCAUUAAGCACUCCGCCUGGGGAGUACGACCGCAAGGUUGAAACUCAAAGGAAUUGACGGGGGCCCGCACAAGCGGUGGAGCAUGUGGUUUAAUUCGAAGCAACGCGAAGAACCUUACCAGGUCUUGACAUCUAGUGCCAUUUGUAGAGAUACAAAGUUCCCUUCGGGGACGCUAAGACAGGUGGUGCAUGGCUGUCGUCAGCUCGUGUCGUGAGAUGUUGGGUUAAGUCCCGCAACGAGCGCAACCCUUGUUAUUAGUUGCCAGCAUUAAGUUGGGCACUCUAAUGAGACUGCCGGUGACAAACCGGAGGAAGGUGGGGAUGACGUCAAGUCAUCAUGCCCCUUAUGACCUGGGCUACACACGUGCUACAAUGGGCAGUACAACGAGAAGCGAGCCUGCGAAGGCAAGCGAAUCUCUGAAAGCUGUUCUCAGUUCGGACUGCAGUCUGCAACUCGACUGCACGAAGCUGGAAUCGCUAGUAAUCGCGGAUCAGCACGCCGCGGUGAAUACGUUCCCGGGCCUUGUACACACCGCCCGUCACACCAUGGGAGUCUGCAAUGCCCAAAGCCGGUGGCCUAACCUUCGGGAAGGAGCCGUCUAAGGCAGGGCAGAUGACUGGGGUGAAGUCGUAACAAGGUAGCCGUAGGAGAACUGC